rnacentral:ncRNA from 2 species
UUAUAGUCGCAUCCAUACGGUUUGCAGGAGAAACACUUCUUCUGCAUUUAAAAGGGAAUCUGGUGCGUGAAACACUGCACGGUAUUCAUCAAGCCAGGGCUGCCCCCGCAACUGUGAUCAGCGAGUUGUUUGCGAACACUUUAAGCCACUGAAGUAAUUCGGGAAGGCGACAGCAAAUAAUCAUGACCUGAGAGCCAGGAGACCGACCGUCAGUUUUUUUACUUG